UGGCGAUUUUAAGACAAAUUUUAGAAGGUUUCAUGCCGAUUUUAUGUGCUUUCUAUACAAAUGCUCACCAAUUUUGUAAGAAUUCAAUCAGUAAUAUUUUAAAUGAUAAAUGAAAUCCAUGCAUUAUUUUUUCGAUUUUCAUUUGAAGUUCAUCGAGCCAGAGUUGUAUGCAAAAUUUUACUGAAAUCUAUGACAAAGCCCAUUUACUGUAACUUGCCCUUAA
rnacentral:lncRNA from 1 species